rnacentral:rRNA from 1 species
UACGUAGGUGGCAAGCGUUUGUCCGGAUUUAUUGGGUUUAAAGGGUGCGUAGGCGGUUUUGUAAGUCAGUGGUGAAAUACUCCAGCUUAACUGGAGGGGUGCCAAUGAUACUGCAGAACUUGAGUACAGAUGAGGUAGGCGGAAUUGACGGUGUAGCGGUGAAAUGCAUAGAUAUCGUCAAGAACACCGAUAGCGAAGGCAGCUUACUGGGCUGUAACUGACGCUGAGGCACGAAAGUGUGGGGAUCAAACAGG